ACUGUUGCUCUGCGCGAGAUAAGGGGCGGUGGAGGGACCUACCUUACCUAGCUGCGCGACGGAAAUGGACAAGCAGAUACGACGCGCAAAUGUGCAACACACCAGCUGCUAGCGGGUUUCUCGGCACCCGCGCCACGGCAAAUGAAUGAAUGAUUGGGUCAUUGGAGGGACCAAAUCAAUCGAGUGAACACUGCUUCCGCUCGUGACCUCUGCAGUGGCCCUGCAGAAAAGACUGCACACAAACAUGCAGGUGCGAACAUGUACUUGCUGAUACCGAUCCAUCUGUGUCUGAGACCACGAAUGAGUACACAAAGCAUGUAACAAACACCUGCGGUCGUAUCUGGUAGUGCUGCAUGGCCGGGACUUGCUGGGCAUUGGUAAAAAAGACCAAAAGGUAAGGAGAUAGAAAGAGAGUUUAAAGCCAGGCAAAGCAACUUUGCAGGACAGAUCCAGCCCAGAUAUGUCUAUGUGGGGGGUGCGGAUGAUGAGAGUAGUACCCGAGGACACUGUGAAGACCUCGCACCGAUAAAGAAAGAUCUGAGCGAGGAUGAUGUGCGGCGGCUGCAAUGGGUGGGAAAGCUUCUCCCUCACGUCACACAUCUAUACUACUACUAGUAGUGCAUACCACUGCUAAUCAUUGAUCUAACUGAUCUGGGGAUCGAGCGAGAAGAUUUAAUUAUGCAUGCUUUGACUUCGAACUAGCUUAAUUAAUUGCCCAUGACCACUUAGACCUAUGGUCCUAACAACAUCCUUGUCCUGCUCCAUAUCUGUAAUCUGUUGCUACGGAAGCAGUCACAGGAUACCCGCGCAUCCAGGGUCCACUCCCCGGUGGCUUCCUUGCAUAGGGAACCGGGCAUGUGUAGUGUUGGAGGCUCGCAUUGAAAAUAUGGCAUGUUGAGCAAGUGAGGGAGUAUGGAGUAUUUUCGUCGGCUAGCCCAUUUUCAAUUGAAUACGAAACCGGUGCAUGACAA